rnacentral:tmRNA from 1 species
GGGGGCGAUCGGCUUCGACGUCGGUUACAAACCCCAAAGUGCAUGUCGAGGACGCAACUUUGCCUCGUUAAUCAUGUUGUAAACUUAUAGUUGCAAACGACGACUAUAUCUCCGCUGAAAACGUUGCUAUUGCUGCUUAAACCACAGUAAAUCGUGUAACGUUUGCGCCGUCUAAACAACGGCAAGCGCCAUGAACUUUGCAGUGCUUGUUCUGUGGGGGGAAUGGUCAUAUCUGACAAGCUCGUAGUCUAGUCUGUCUGAGACGAGACUGCUAAAUGUGUAAAGACUCGUUGGUAAAUUCCCUGUCAACCGGAAAUUUAUCGAUUAAAUUUAAAGAUUGACUAAACAUGUAGUGCUAAGGGCAGCGGAUUGGCGGACGUGGGUUCGAUUCCCACCGCCUCCACCA